CGUCCUUCCUGGCUGCUGGCACGACUUUCGUGCGCUGUCGCUGGGCGUGUGUCUGUCUCUGCCACGCCACCUUUGGCAGUGCCAACUUGGGCAUAUUCAUCGGAGCCACCCUGAAUGUGGCUGGUUCCCACCGCAGCUCUCGGGUGCGUGUGAAGGCGGGCAGACAGACUCUCCCAGGGGUGUGUUAACAGACUUUUACCCACACGCGAAAAAAGGAUUGUCGCCGCCACGCCUCCCCGGCCUCUGCGUGAGAAGGAGGCCGUGUCCGCCUCGCCUUCCCCUUCGCUCCCGGCUUCCGGGUGUAGUCCGUGGGGCGAUGGGGAAGUGCCCGGGGCGUCGCUGGCCCAUUCCGAGCCCUCACCAUAGCGUGCCUGACGGAGUGACCAGGGUCGUUGCAAAGUUUGGUAGCCGGGCGAGAUCGUGAUCGCUUUCGCGCAGCCCCUUCUCACGCAACCCCCGCCCCCUCGGCCAGCGGCCUCCCCCCCCAACCGCCUCUGUCCACCUCUCUCUCCACCCCUCGAAAGAAGGAAAGAUAAGAACGGGAGCUGAAGGUGGCGUACAUGGUUCUUCCCUCUCUCCAUUUGUAUCCUCACAAAAACCGAGUGAGGUAUGUUAGGACGCAAGACUUGAGAAGAGAUGACUGUGGGGCACUCUUCAAGUACUUGAAAGGUUGCCACACAGAGGAGGGCCAGGAUAUCUUCUCGAUGGUCCCAGAGUGCAGGACACGGCAUAAUGGGCUCAGAUUUUGGCAGAACAACAGGAAAAAUGUCCUAACUGUUAGAGUGGCACAACAAUGGAACUAAAGACCUAGGGAGGUGAUGGGCUCUCCAACACUGGAGACAUUCAAGAGGUGGCUGGACAGGCACCUCUCAGCAGGAAUAUAGCGACCACCACUUGUAUAGAAAAAUCUAGCAGUAACUUUCGAGAUAUUAUUCACUGCAUGGAUUACAGAUCGAAUAUGAGGAAUCCAAGAGAGAGAGGAACAGAAUGUUACACCAAGAAAUACAAACAACAAAGAAUAAACCAUAAUAACCAAACAAUCAAAGAAAACUGCAUGCAUCAUGUCUCAAAGGAAACAGCUACCAUCUCAAUCAAAGGAUACAGAUGAGAGACUGUGGGGGCAAAGAUCUAACGAACAUAAUCACAAGAGUAAGUUGAUUGUACAUUUGUAGAUGGGAAUAUCCUGAAAAUAUUAAAUAGUAGAGUUAUUUAUACUGCCAAUAGUAUGGUGGAGGUCUUUUUGAGAAUAUUGUUCUAUAGCUGUGUGUAAAAUAAAG